CCUACGGGGGGCAGCAGUGGGGAAUAUUGCACAAUGGGGGAAACCCUGAUGCAGCAACGCCGCGUGAGCGAUUAAGGCCUUCGGGUCGUAAAGCUCUGUCCUAAGGGAAGAAUACUGACGGUACCUUAGGAGGAAGCCCCGGCUAACUACUUGCCAGCAGCCGCGGUAAUACGGAGGUGGCUAGCGUUAUCCGUAAUUACUGGGCGUAAAGGGUGCGUAGGCGGCCCUUCAAGUCAGAGGUGAAAGGCGACGGCUCAACCGUGGUAAGCCUUUGAAACUUUAGGGAUUGAGUGCAGGGGGGGCGGGUGGUAUUCCCGGUGAAGCGGCGAAAUGCGUCGCUAUUGGGAGGAACACCAGGUGCGAUGGCGGCUGUCUGGACUAUACGGGACGCUGAGGCACGAAAGCGCUGGGGUCCAACAGGAUUCGAUACCCGUGUAGUC
rnacentral:rRNA from 1 species